rnacentral:piRNA from 1 species
UAAAGCAUGCAUGAGAUACUCUUAGGAUC